rnacentral:rRNA from 1 species
CUAACAAGGAUUCCCCUAGUAACUGCGAGUGAAGCGGGAAAAGCUCAAAUUUAAAAUCUGGCAGCCUUUGGCUGUCUGAGUUGUAAUCUAGAGAAGUAUUAUCCGCGCUGGACCGUGUACAAGUCUCCUGGAAUGGAGCGUCAUAGAGGGUGAGAAUCCCGUCUUUGACACGGACUGCCAGGGCUUUGUGAUGUGCUCUCAAAGAGUCGAGUUGUUUGGGAAUGCAGCUCAAAAUGGGUGGUAAAUUCCAUCUAAAGCUAAAUAUUGGCGAGAGACCGAUAGCGAACAAGUACCGUGAGGGAAAGAUGAAAAGAACUUUGGAAAGAGAGUUAAACAGUACGUGAAAUUGCUGAAAGGGAAACGCUUGAAGUCAGUCGCGUUGGCCAGGGAUCAACCUUGCUUUUUUGCUUGGCUUACUUUCUGGUCGAUGGGUCAGCAUCAAUUUUGACUGGUGGAAAAAGUUCAAGGGAAUGUGGCAUCUUCGGAUGUGUUAUAGCCUUUGUUCUCAUACAUCGGUUGGGAUUGAGGAACUCAGCACGCCGCAAGGCCGGGUUUUUAACCACGUACGUGCUUAGGAUGCUGGCAUAAUGGCUUUAAUCGACCCGUCUUGAAACACGGACCAAGGAGUCUAACAUGCCUGCGAGUGUUUGGGUGAAAAACCCGAGCGCGUAAUGAAAGUGAAAGUUGAGAUCCCUGUCAUGGGGAGCAUUGACGCCCGGAUCUGACCUUUUGUGACGAUUCUGCGGUAGAGCAUGUAUGUUGGGACCCGAAAGAUGGUGAACUAUGCCUGAAUAGGGUGAAGCCAGAGGAAACUCUGGUGGAGGCUCGUAGCGAUUCUGACGUGCAAAUCGAUCGUCAAAUUUGGGUAUAGGGGCGAAA